rnacentral:tRNA from 1 species
UUAUUGAAAGCAGAAUAUUGCAUAAAAUUUAGAAUUUUAAGGUAGUACAAUAAA